rnacentral:rRNA from 1 species
AUUGAACGCUGGCGGCAUGCUUUACACAUGCAAGUCGAACGGUAGAGGGGGCAACCCCUUGAGAGUGGCGAACGGGUGAGUAAUGCAUCGGAACGUGCCCAGUCGUGGGGGAUAACGCAGCGAAAGCUGUGCUAAUACCGCAUACGAUCUCUGGAUGAAAGCGGGGGACCGAAAGGCCUCGCGCGAUUGGAGCGGCCGAUGUCAGAUUAGGUAGUUGGUGGGGUAAAGGCUCACCAAGCCAACGAUCUGUAGCUGGUCUGAGAGGACGACCAGGAAACAUGGGAAUGAGGAACGGCCCAGACGCCUACGGGGGGCAGCAGUGGGGAAUUUUGGACAAUGGGGGCAAGCCUGAUCCAGCAAUGCCGCGUGCAGGAAGAAGGCCUUCGGGUUGUAAACUGCUUUUGUACGGAACGAAAAGGUCUGGGUUAAUACCCUGGGCACAUGACGGUACCGUAAGAAUAAGCACCGGCUAACUACGUGCCAGCCGCCGCGGUAA